ensembl:lncRNA
AUUUUUCUUUGUUUUUGUUUGUUUUUCUCUCCUUGGGUUCUAAACAGAUGACCAUACUGAGCACAUUUAUUAGAAUUACAAUUUAAGUUAAAAUAAAAUCUGCAUUACUGUAUGUGGCAGGAUGAAUGUUAUCCUUCGGUCCAACCCACUUUCAGCCUGGCCCAUUAGGGGGCGCUGGUAUAAAUAGUGGCCAUUUGAGUGUCUCUGCGUCGCUUGCCUGUGAUCUCCUUUUUGGUCACCUGACUUCCCCUCGGCGUGGUGGAGAUCAUUUGCGGGUUAUUCUUCUGAAGCCUCCAUCGCGGCUGGUCGUAGCUAUAGAAGCCUCCUCUGAGCUAUUCUGCUUACGUUCUGUGACCCGGCUUACUUGCUUUUACAGUGGACGUCGGCGUGGACAACGGCCAUAUGCAUGCCGGUUAUCGGAGUCAGCUGGCGUGCAUAUUGAUUGACUGUUAACUUAUCGUCGUGUGGACGGCAAGUUGGAGCAGUACGGCGAUUCCGUUUGCUCCAGAUUUUAGAGUUUUAUUCAGAUUGUAUGUUGUUUUAUUGCUUUUUGAUUUGUAUUUGGAUUUUCUGUUACACCACUGGUGGGAGGCCCUUUUUCUAGCUGUAGAUCACCAGUGUGGUCCUGCAGUUGGGUUAUCCCCCGGUGCUACACAUUAGUUUGUUGUAAUAUAUUAACAUUUUCUUUGUUUCUUUUAUUCAGAUGCGGAGUGCCGACGUGGAGGAGACUAGGGUGCCUUGGUGGUGGGAUCCCUUGAGUGUACACACCUGCCUUGUCUAGUUUAUUAGUGUGAGUGUGUGAUAGUGUGUUGCACUUGUGUUUUGGUGUGUUUUCUUUCUUUAGUUGUGUGUGGCAUCCCUGCCCCUCCACUGGUAAGCCUCAGCUCUGAAUACCUUUUUAAGCAUAUUUGUAUUUGAAUAUUUAUGAUUAUGUUUUUAUUCGGUGUUUUAAAUAAUUACCAAUAAAUUGUCAAUUUGUUUAUUAUUGAA